rfam:Candidatus Wildermuthbacteria bacterium RIFCSPLOWO2_12_FTLL_40_9 rifcsplowo2_12_scaffold_32123, whole genome shotgun sequence.
GGGCGCGUAGUUCAGUGGUUAGAACGCUACUCUUAUAAAGUAGAAGUCGAAGGUUCGAUCCCUUCCGCGCCCN